rnacentral:tRNA from 1 species
GCCCUGGUGGUGCAGUGGUUAAAGCACUCGGCUGCUAACUGAAAGGUCGUGGUUCAAACCCACCUGGGGAG